rnacentral:rRNA from 1 species
AGUGAACGCUGGCGGUAGGCCUAACACAUGCAAGUCGAACGGCAGCACAGUAAGAGCUUGCUCUUACGGGUGGCGAGUGGCGGACGGGUGAGGAAUACAUCGGAAUCUACUUUUUCGGGGGGGAUAACGUAGGGAAACUUAUGCUAAUAGCGCAUACGACCUACGGGUGAAAGCAGGGGAUCUUCGGACCUUGCGCGAUUGAAUGAGCCGAUGUCGGAUUAGCUAGUUGGCGGGGUAAAGGCCCACCAAGGCGACGAUCCGUAGCUGGUCUGAGAGGAUGAUCAGCCACACUGGAACUGAGACACGGUCCAGACUCCUACGGGAGGCAGCAGUGGGGAAUAUUGGACAAUGGGCGCAAGCCUGAUCCAGCCAUACCGCGUGGGUGAAGAAGGCCUUCGGGUUGUAAAGCCCUUUUGUUGGGAAAGAAAAGCAGCAGGUUAAUACCCCGCUGUUCUGACGGUACCCAAAGAAUAAGCACCGGCUAACUUCGUG